GACGAACGCUGGCGGCGUGCCUAAUACAUGCAAGUCGAACGCUUCUUUCCUCCCGAGUGCUUGCACUCAAUUGGAAAGAGGAGUGGCGGACGGGUGAGUAACACGUGGGUAACCUACCCAUCAGAGGGGGAUAACACUUGGAAACAGGUGCUAAUACCGCAUAACAGUUUAUGCCGCAUGGCAUAAGAGUGAAAGGCGCUUUCGGGUGUCGCUGAUGGAUGGACCCGCGGUGCAUUAGCUAGUUGGUGAGGUAACGGCUCACCAAGGCCACGAUGCAUAGCCGACCUGAGAGGGUGAUCGGCCACACUGGGACUGAGACACGGCCCAGACUCCUACGGGAGGCAGCAGUAGGGAAUCUUCGGCAAUGGACGAAAGUCUGACCGAGCAACGCCGCGUGAGUGAAGAAGGUUUUCGGAUCGUAAAACUCUGUUGUUAGAGAAGAACAAGGACGUUAGUAACUGAACGUCCCCUGACGGU
rnacentral:rRNA from 1 species